rnacentral:RNase_P_RNA from 1 species
CGUGCGGAUCGGGCCAUCGCUCCGUCGCGCCGACACCUGCCGGGAGCCGAUCUCGGCCGCUGCCGGGGCGGCGGUGAGGAAAGUCCGAACACCACAGGGUACCGUGCUUCCUAACGGGAAGGCGCCCCGACAGCAGUCGGGACGACGGCACGUGCAACAGAGAGCAGUCCCACCCCGGCAGACGUCGGGGCAAGGGGUGCAAGGGUGUGGUAAGAGCGCACCGGCGUUCCGGGCGACCGGAACGGCCAGGCAAACCCCACGGGGUGUAAGGCCAAGUCGCACCGCCCUCCGAUCCUCACUGGAGUUAAGGCUACCCGCCGAGAAUGCGGUGCAGGUGGGCCGCUUGAGGCGGUCGGCGACGGCCGUCCCAGAUAGAUGAUGGCCUCCCCACGAGCCCGGCACGGACCGACCGUGGGCAGACCGAAUUCGGCUUACAGAUCCGCACGCGCC